rnacentral:tRNA from 1 species
CCAGCGGCCUGCUGUACGGCACGCCCGCGGAUGCCCCGUCCGCGGCGGAGGUGACGCCGCCCACCGAGUUCGAGGCCCGGGCGCUGGA